GGCUGGUCCGAGUGCAGUGGUAUUUGUAUUUACAACUAAUCAAUGACAACCAGUUACAGAUUUUGUUCCUUCUCCACUCCCACUGCUUUGCUUGACCAGCCUUUA
rnacentral:Y_RNA from 1 species